rnacentral:rRNA from 1 species
GCCCUUAGAGUUUGAUCCUGGCUCAGAGUGAACGCUGGCGGCAGGCCUAACACAUGCAAGCCGAACGGCAGCACAGAGGAGCUUGCUCCUUGGGUGGCGAGUGGCGGACGGGUGAGGAAUACGUCGGAAUCUGCCUAUUUGUGGGGGAUAACGUAGGGAAACUUACGCUAAUACCGCAUACGACCUACGGGUGAAAGUGGGGGACCGCAAGGCCUCACGCAGAUAGAUGAGCCGACGUCGGAUUAGCUAGUUGGCGGGGUAAAGGCCCACCAAGGCGACGAUCCGUAGCUGGUCUGAGAGGAUGAUCAGCCACACUGGAACUGAGACACGGUCCAGACUCCUACGGGAGGCAGCAGUGGGGAAUAUUGGACAAUGGGCGCAAGCCUGAUCCAGCCAUGCCGCGUGUGUGAAGAAGGCCUUCGGGUUGUAAAGCACUUUUGUCCGGAAAGAAAAGCUUAGGGUUAAUAACCCUGAGUCAUGACGGUACCGGAAGAAUAAGCACCGGCUC